GGAUGUGAGGGCUAUCUGGCUGCGACAUCUGUCACCCCAUUGAUCGCCAGGGUUGAUUCGGCUGAUCUGGCUGGCUAGGCGGGUGUCCCCUUCCUGCCUCACCACUCCAAGUGCGUCCCUCCCGAAGCUGCGCACUCGGUCGAAGAGGACGGCCUUCCCCGAAUAGAGACGGACCGGUCUUCAGUCGAGGGUAUACGAGUAGCUGCGGUCCCCUGCUAGAACCUCCAAACAAGCUCUCAAGAUCUUAACAAUGCACUGCAAGUAACAUGAAGGAAAAAAAAAAAUCACAAUUGCAACGGAAAACAUUU
rnacentral:snRNA from 1 species